GCAGAGGGGGCGAAGGCAACUUGCUGGGCGUUAAAGGGGCCGAGAGCAAGGGGCUGGUGAAAGAGGGCCAGUGGAACCAUUUCAAGCUCAUGGUGAUGGGCAAGGGGGCGACCCUCGAAAUCAACGGGAAGCCAGCGUGGAAGGCGGAAGGGCUCGAGGCGGCCAGCGGGUACAUCGGCUUUCAGGCGGAAGUGCCGCUCGGCGGGCAGUUCGCGUUUCGCGAGAUUCGCCUUACCGAACUGGGCUACAAACCGCUCUUUAACGGCGUGGAUCUGACAGGUUGGGAAGGGGCCGGCAGCCCGGCCGAGGAAUGUUGGAAGGUCGACAAUGGCGAGCUGCUCUGCACCGGCCACAAGGGCCCUUGGCUGCGCACUAAAACCCAACACGCCGACUUUAAUCUGCGACUACAGUACAAGGUGAAGGAGGGGGGCAACUCCGGCGUUUACGUGCGCGUGCCCGAAGACGGCAAUCACCACGGCCCCGGCUCGGGCGUGGAGAUUCAGAUUCUCGACGACGCCGCGGCCCGAUACGCCAAGCUUGAGCCUUAUCAAUUCAGCGGCAGCGUGUACGCCAUUGCCCCAGCUCGCCAGCGCGUCUGCCUGCCGGUGGGCAAGUGGAAUGAGCUCGAAAUCAACGUUCGUGGCCUCGACUACCGCGUGGUUCACAACGGCGUGCUGAUCGUCGACGCCAAGGUCGACGAUUUUCCCAUGCUCAAGGAACGGCGAUUGGAAGGCUUCUUGGGCCUGCAAAAUCACAGCGAAGAAGUUCGAUUCCGCAGCUUGCGAAUCGGGCCGGUGCAGCAAUAAACGACGAGACUAGCUCGCUUUCGCCAUCGGUAGCGUGAGAUAGUCAAGCACUUCCCGCUGCAUGCGCUCUACUUCCGCCCGAUAGCCUCGUGUUACGAGUGGAAGCUCCUCGGGCCGGCUAUUGAUCUUUAAGCGCCCCAAGAGGUCGAGAAAGUAUGUGAUGCGCUCUUUCGUAACUAGUAGUUCUUCGUCAUUUUGGAUCAUGGUCGAAUCUCCACGAUACCUCGACGGCGGCCAUCUCGUUUUCGUUCCCAGUGGGCCAGAAAUGAAUCGAGCGACUCGCCAAGCAACAUACUCGGCCGCACCCAGAAAACGCUAGCUCCAAGUUCUAUAUCUGCGCGAUCGUGAUCGAACAGGACCAAGGAAUCAGGCGGGCAGUUGGCGAGUCGAAAUUCAUCCCGCAUUACCAAAAUCAAAUCGACAUCGUUUGGCUCGGCAACGUCGCUAACGUAACUUCCAAAAAUGACCACGCAGUCAAGAGAUCCCGCUGCAAUCGCUAACUUGACAAUACGACUAAGACGCUCGGUCACGUCCGCUCGUUGUGCGCUUCCAAACCCAAAUCGGGAGACAACCUCGGCGAACGAUGCUAGGUGGCGGCCUGACGGCAAAUCGCCAAAUUCAUUGAAUUCAGGAAGCAUGUAACGCUCGGCUGAGGCAUUCUAUUCAUCAUGGCAAAGCCCCGGUAAUGUUGCAACCCUAUGCCACAAUUAAAAGUCGGCGCUUAGCGGACGAAGGGCAAUCACUUCAACCGCCGCACCGUGUAUGGCGAGGUG
rnacentral:misc_RNA from 1 species